rnacentral:rRNA from 1 species
CAGUCGCCGCGGUAAUACGUAGGUGGCAAGCGUUGUCCGGAAUUAUUGGGCGUAAAGGGCUCGCAGGCGGUUUCUUAAGUCUGAUGUGAAAGCCCCCGGCUCAACCGGGGAGGGUCAUUGGAAACUGGGAAACUUGAGUGCAGAAGAGGAGAGUGGAAUUCCACGUGUAGCGGUGAAAUGCGUAGAGAUGUGGAGGAACUCCAGUGGCGAAGGCGACUCUCUGGUCUGUAACUGACGCUGAGGAGCGAAAGCGUGGGGAGCGAACAGGAUUAGAUACCCGCGUAGUCCCUGUCUCUUAUAC